rnacentral:rRNA from 1 species
GCGGCGUGCCUAACACAUGCAAGUCGAACGAGAAAGUGGAGCAAUCCAUGAGUAAAGUGGCGACCGGGUGAGUAACACGUGACUAACCUACCCUUGAAUGGGGAAUAACCUUCCGAAAGGAGGGCUAAUACCGCAUAAAGUCCUAAGGAUGAAACGCCUAAGGACCAAAGGAGCAAUUCGUUUAAGGAGGGGGUCGCGGUUGAUUAGCUAGUUGGUGAGGUAAUGGCUCACCAAGGCGAUGAUCAAUAGCCGGCCUGAGAGGGCGCACGGCCACACUGGAACUGAAACACGGUCCAGACUCCUACGGGAGGCAGCAGUGGGGAAUUUUGCGCAAUGGGGGAAACCCUGACGCAGCAACGCCGCGUGGAGGAUGAAGGUCUUUGGAUUGUAAACUCCUUUCGAUCGGGAAGAUAAUGACGGUACCGGAAGAAGAAGCCCCGGCUAACUUCGUGCCAGCAGCCGCGGUAAUACNAAGGGGGCAAGCGUUGUUCGGAAUUAUUGGGCGUAAAGGGAGCGUAGGCGGUUCGGCAAGUCUUUAGUGAAAUCUCUGGGCUCAACUCAGAGUCUGCUGGA